UGAAAGAAAAUAAAGACAAGAAAAGGAAGAGAGAUUAAAGUGAGCUUAGAAAAAUUGACGUGUUUCGGAAAAAAAUGAUAAAAAUAAUGAAAUAAUAAUAACAGUGACAAUGAACUUCCGUGGAUCUCUCUCUCUCUCUCUCUCUCUUAGACUCCGGGAUGUCAAGUGACGUUUAGAGAUAUUUUGGUCCGCCCCGGGGAGAGAGAGAGAGAGAGGAUGGGCACAUAGCAAUCUGGCACCCGCAUUGGCUCUCCUCUUACCCCUCUCCUCCCUGGUCCAUCCUUUCCUUCCCCUGAGUGGCUAUGUGGCUCGGUGCCUCAGUGUGCCCGGGGCCGCCAGCCAGUGCCACACCCGCCAGGCAGUGCCACGCUAACACUGCCAAACACCGCCUCUAUUAUCGUCAUUCUCACCUCAACUAAAUAAAAAUGACCGAGGAAUAUUGGUGCAUUAAAUUAACAUAAAAGUGAAUGAAGGAAACAGAAAACAAUGUGGAGAAA